rnacentral:lncRNA from 1 species
CUCCUCCUGCGCCGGGCCCUCCCCGCCCUUACCCAGCUUGACGGCGGAGUCCGCCAGACAACGAUCCCACUUCCUGCCCAGCUCGCCCUCCGACGCCAUCUUGACAGACCCCUCCCACCUCAGGCCGCGCCUCUACCGCCUCCUCCUCACAGCAAUUCUCGCGAAACUCUCCGCUGCGGGCUAGAGGCGGCAAAGGAAAUAUCGCGAGACUUCACUCGACCCGUUGUCAAGGUUACCGGCGGGAAUGCGCGAUGCCGGCUCUGCUCCUCAAGGCCGUUCCUCCCCACAGUCCCCGGCCGCAAAAGGGCUGUUCUUCCCCGCAGUGCCCGGCUCCGAAGCUCCGGCCCCUCCUGGGCCCCAUCUUUUCAUCCAGAGCUCCUGCUUUGCCCUUGUGAGGCCUCAGAUCUAUCAGGCAGCAUCCUCAUCCCCUCACAGGCCUUCACCAGGGCAUACCUCACAGAGCUGCUCCCCUCAGGGCUCCCACCUCUAGUUCGGCCCUCAUUCUAAGAUGCGUAAUGCCUGCUGCUGAGCCUUUCGAGCACACCCUGGCUGUAGGUGGAUGACUCCAUGCUGGAAGGUGAAGCCUGGAGUGCAGCUAAUGCUACCUCACAGCACUCUGAUCUACUGAAUGUCUCCCACUCAGAGACUGAAUUAGCUUUGUUUUGUGUCAGCCCCUCCAGGAACUGCAACAGAAAGUAGGAUGGCCACAACUGUAGUUACAUACAGGGGGCUUUCUGCCAGCUGAGAUCUCCACACUGCAAAUUGCAGCUUACCAGGAAGAGCUUGCUCCUACAUCUUAAUAAACAAACAAAAACAUUCCCUUAAGCAUGUCCUGCUAUAAACAAGCAAAGCAAGCAGCUGGUCCUCAUUUGAAAAGAUGUUACAUCAAUUUCAAAAGAAAUCUGCAGAUCUUCUUAAUGCAAAUAUUUUUGGGAAAACAAAAAGCAGCUGUUUAUGUUGCUUUAUACCUAUUAGCAGGAAAACACAAUCCAGGAUGCUUGUAUUUCUUCUUGUAAGAAAAACAUCCUCUUGGCAUCAACAUUCAUUCGGAUCUCAAAUUGUUUAAAAUAUACUAGGCUGCAUCAAUCUGCUUUUGCUCUGUCUUCAGCAAGCAGCUAGAAACCUUUUUUGUUCAUUAACUGUAAGACCUAAAAGCAAAACAGUCACCAAGGAGUUUGCACGAGUUCUGUAACAAAAGUUGUGACAUUUAGAAUAUGUGUUUUCAAGUUUAUCUGCUCUGUCCUCCCAUACCCUGCUGCAAGGAAAAUGUGCACGUUAGAUGUGUGCAACCCUGUAAGAGGAAGGAAUAAUCUACUGAGUAAUGAAGGCGGCCUUUUCUUAAUUACUGCUGGUAGGGACCUCUGAAGGAAUGUAAGGACUGAAGGAUGUGGGGACUGGAAAAUAGAAUGCGUUUGGAUUGCUGCAUGUUACAAUGUGGCGUCAGGGAGGUUAGGCUGAACAGUACUGGCGAAGAAUUGAAUUUGGAGACUCUAGAGCAGGAAAUGCCUUUUGAGGUCAUGUGGCCUUUCUACUAGACAUUAUUUCCCAUCCUAGGGUUUAUUUGGUAGUGUUUUUUUCAUGUGCUUUUGUUUGUGAAGUAACAUAGCUCCUUUUUUUUUUCCCUGAGGUUAUCAUUCUUCUGCUUUCCACUCUUUGCCUCCCAGAACCAACCAAACGCAGGCCAAGGCUAACUUAGAAAAAUGGGUGACAGCAACAGCCAUCAACAAAUAGGACAGUUUGUGUUUGAUAAUUCAUGUGAUAGCUGUUACAUGGGGAUGUGGUCAUGUGUUGUGCAAGCUGAACUCCAACAGUUCCACUUCGUGCUGCAGGGCAGCUCGUGCUAACACGUCACAUCCCUGGAAAUCAGCUUGUUGCCUUGAACCUGAAAGUUGCAGCUGUUUUGCCCUGUGUUGUUAAGUGAAGUGAGCACAGCCCGAGUUGUCAUCUCUUGGAAGGUUCUGCUUGGUAUCUGAGAGCUACUAAAAUUCACAGCUGAACCAAAAACAUCUGUGAUAAUGUCUUAGUGGAAAGUCAGAGCUUGGCCUUGGCUAUCUCCUGGCGGGCGGAUGUACCACAAAACGUCACCUCCCAGGAAAAAAUGAAGCAGUUCCCUUGAGAAUACAUAAGUUCUAUUACAAGUGCACACAGGCCGUGGUUUCACACCAUUGCAUCAGAGCAGGAAGCAAUGCAUGACUCCACUUGACAGCAUUGCCAGUUUCUACAGCAAAUGAAGGAAAGCAAAC